AAGUCGAGCGAAGCACUUUGCUUAGAUUCUUCGGAUGAAGAGGAUUGUGACUGAGCGGCGGACGGGUGAGUAACGCGUGGGUAACCUGCCUCAUACAGGGGGAUAACAGUUAGAAAUGACUGCUAAUACCGCAUAAGACCACAGCACCGCAUGGUGCGGGGGUAAAAACUCCGGUGGUAUGAGAUGGACCCGCGUCUGAUUAGCUAGUUGGUAAGGUAACGGCUUACCAAGGCGACGAUCAGUAGCCGACCUGAGAGGGUGACCGGCCACAUUGGGACUGAGACACGGCCCAAACUCCUACGGGAGGCAGCAGUGGGGAAUAUUGCACAAUGGGGGAAACCCUGAUGCAGCGACGCCGCGUGAGCGAAGAAGUAUUUCGGUAUGUAAAGCUCUAUCAGCAGGGAAGAAAAUGACGGUACCUGACUAAGAAGCACCGGCUAAAUACGUGCCAGCAGCCGCGGUAAUACGUAUGGUGCAAGCGUUAUCCGGAUUUACUGGGUGUAAAGGGAGCGUAGACGGAUGGGCAAGUCUGAUGUGAAAAC
rnacentral:rRNA from 1 species